ensembl:rRNA 5S_rRNA 5S ribosomal RNA
GUUGAGGGGCAUACCACCCUGAACGCGCCCAAUUUCGUCUGAUCUCAGAAGCUAAGCAGGGUCGGGCCUGGUUAGUACUUGGAUGGGAGAACACCUGAUUUUUGACAAGC